rnacentral:RNase_P_RNA from 1 species
UCAGCAAACCGCUUUGUCGCUCUGCCGUUUUGACGGUGGGGAGGAAAGUCCGGACACCACAGAGCAGCAUAACGGGUAACGCCCGUCGUCCCGGCAUUGAGUUGGGGCAGGACAAGUGCAACAGAAAGCAGGUACAGUCAGGCUGUAGUGAAACCAGGUAAACUCUAUGCGGUGCAAUGCCAAGUAUACCGGCAGUCAAGGGCGGCUCGUCCAUUGUCGGGGGGUAGGCAGUUAGAUCCCGCCGGUAACGUCGGGGCCAGAUAAAUGACAAAGAUUCCGCACAUGCGGAAUACAGAAUCCGGCUUACAGGUUUGCUUAUUUU